rnacentral:lncRNA from 1 species
GGAAAGAGAGAGUUUGGUCCAAAUGCGAUUUCUGUUCAUCUGGACCGGUGUUUUUGACCCAUUUAUUUUGUGUCUUAGGCCCACUUCGAUUGUACCUCUCUUAUACUAACAAAAUAACUAUAACAAAAGUAGGUCCUCUGGGCAUAACUUCUUCAACUCUCCGAUUGGCUUUGAUUCCUUCAUCCUUGGGAUCCAUACGUCAGUGUUCAUGGCUUAACAUGAUAGAAAGGAAUAUCAGUCUUCACAACCCUGUAAAAAAUGCAAGAGGAAAGAUAAGAGUUUGUAGCAAACUCUAGCGGAUUUCAUCUGCAACACAAAAGUGAAAAUAUGUAAAUCAAAAAUCAUUGAUUUAAUGCAAGAAGGAAUAUAGCGUAGAUUGAACUCAUAUACUACUGCAUUUCAAUUUAAACAAGAUGACUAGAAGACAAACAACAUGAUAGAAUCCUUGAAAUCAAUAAAAAUGCUUUCUCAAUAGUCUUGAUCCACUAAAACCAUCGUCAGUAUUGAACCAAUACCAAGUAUAUGAAUUAAUGUCUUAUCUUUUGAUUUCUAACUGAAAGGAUAAAUUAUGGCCAACUAAUGACUAGAUGACUUAAAAUGAACAAUGCAUACCUAACAACAAACAAACAUCAAGCAUUAAAAGAGUAAACACUUUGAUACUAAUGAUCAAGAGAAAUGCAAACGAGUCAAAGCAACAUCAUCUACCAUGAAUGGAUAUCAGCAAACUCAAAAGUGGAGCAAAAUAAGAUUUAAGAUGAACUAAAAUAAGGAAAAAAUAAUAAUUAAAAAAAAUAGAAACAGCCCGCAAUAACCACGAAAAAUUCCACUUCCAUAACAUAGCAAUACACAUGAACAAACAUUUCUUCUUAACUAACAUGGAACUCUACAUGAAAUAGAAUCGAUUAAUAUCAAACUAUUAAAUAGCUAAGUGGAGUAGAAGACAAUCCAUCUAUAUAGUACUUAAAGAAAGACUAAAUUCUUGGACAUUCAGAAAUCCUCAAAAUUGUAUUAAAGAAAAAAAAAGAGGAAAAAGGAAAAAAAACAAGUCUAUAAUUCAAAUAAUUCCCAAACAAGAAUAACUACAGGGAUGUUAACACUUAUGCAGAUUAAUAAAAGAAUGAGGAAAGGGUAGACAUACAUUAACAUUUAUUUCCCAUGAUAUAAUUCUAGCAACAAUAUGAUAAUGAGCCUAACAAACAAAGAACUUGAAAUAUAGAGGAAGGACAGGUUACUAUCACCAACAAACAAUGAAUAACACAACACACAACUCAAUAUCGACUUGAUUUAUGGUUCUUUCCCUAUAUCAUAAAAGAAAUAACCUUCACAAUAAAAGAGUGACUCUACAAAACUCAAACUCAAUCAAUAAAGAAGCCACGACAUUGAGCAUAAAUCCACGGAAAGCUUUAACACGACAUGGUAAACAUCUUGACAGAAUGACUAAAAGGCAUACAUUAUAUUGAAAAUUAUAAACUAAAUAGCAACUAACAGCCAAUAAACACGUAACGAAAGCUUUAAAAUAAUAAGGUAUCAUUUCGAGACAAAAGAAGAGGCAAAAGAAUAUUAUGAAGAAGACGAUGCUACCUUUAUCUUGGCAAUGAAAGAGGACCGCACGAGCUAGGGGAGACUUCCAUCACGGAUUUGGACCUCAAGCGAAACUCGAGUAAACAAAUGCAAAUGGAAUGAAAGCUUGAUAUCUUGACCAAACUAAGGCACCCUCUUCUUUGAACGUAUUACUGUAUUUUCUAGCCAUUGUUUUCUUAAGGUGACUCUCAAAUUUUUCAGCUCUAAAAGAAAACUUUGAGUCUCAAAAGGAAAUUCCCAGCACAACUUUUUUUCUUUUCCUAUUAUUUUUCCCCCGCCUAAAAUGAACCAAAAAAGGAGUUUAUAUGGAAGGGAUUUUUUGACUUACUUGUUGGAAAGGUGGGGGGAGAUUCGGAUAAAAGCACUUUGUGUAACUUUUGACGCUUGGUGAGAUGUUACGAGGACUUUGACUCUUUAUUGCUUUAUGUGUUUUCAUUUUUGAUGGUGUAUGUGAUGUAUGGGUUACGUCCCAAUUACUCUCUUUAUGUAAUAGAUGGCUUGAGACUUAUGUUAGACUUCUGCUUACUUUUUGUUAAACUCUUGUGAUAUAAUAAUUUUCUUUUAAACACUUCAAAUUCUAUUAUCUUGUAUGAUGCAUGCUAAGUGGCUUGUGUAGGGCCUCUCGGAGUCCUACAUGCUAUGUCACAUCUAGGAUAUACUUUGAGUCGUGACAGAAUCAUAGGGAAAUGUUACUAAACUAUAACUAUUUACUCGAUCCAAUUAAGAAAAAUUCUACUUUUAUAUAUGGUUUAAGCGGACUACCCUUUGUCAAAGAACAUCAAAUAAAAUCAGAUGAACUCAAUCAUAAACCAUAAAUUACUACACAGGAAAUAAUCACACCCCACUCCACAAUUUACACCAUAAUGUUGUCCGUAAUGCUGCAAAAAUAUUGCAAAAUAAAAAGAAAAGUAGGGUGCAGGACUACCCUUAUCAAAUUUCCGUGACAUAAUAAUCUGUAGUGUCUUCCAGUUUUUAGGAUGAUCUACAUCAUUAUUAGUAUCCACAUCCAGUUUUAAACAUAUGUGAAACACAUCAUUUUUAGUAAUCAUAUCAAGAUUAGAACAUAUGUGAAACUUAUCAUUAUCUAUAGGUAUAUCAUAUUCAGUGGGCCCAAGAACUCUUCUCCCAACCCUAAGAUAGAUUUUUCAUGAUCAUUUAAAUGAUAUUUUAAUUCAACUUGAUGCAACUAAACUCAUGUGGAAGCUAGGAAAAUAUUUUUAUAAUGUAACAUCUCUAACCCGUACAGUCUAGAAUAAAUUCAUCCCUCCUAAAUCAUUGCGCAGUACUGAUAGUAGACCUAUGUAUAAUGUUUGGGCCUUUAGUCAUGAUCACAUCUAUAUGCACAAUGAUUUAUGGUUUUAUGUAGUCAAAACUCUCCUCGUGAUCCCAAAAAGCAUAUAUGUUUGGGUUAUCAAGCCCUCCCCCCCCCCCCCCCGAAAAAAAACAAAUCUUCUCCCCCAGUUAACUCACACAUUCCUCAUUGUCAAUUUCAAAAUAGCCCGAGAAUUGAUUUGUUACCUCCAAUGUAGUAAUUUUUUCCGACAAAUGACCUCCUUAAAUCCUAAAAUUUUCCAUAGCAAUCUUCUAGUUCGUCAUUUCAAUCUUCAAAUUCUCCAUUUGAGUUUUCAAAUUAUCCAUUACAAUAUUGUCAUCUUUCAACAGCAACUCCAAGUUAAUUUGGUAAGCUAUUUCAGGAAAAGUUUGGUCUUACCAUUCCCAUUGUCCACAUGAUGAAAACUGCCAUAGCAGUAAAAAUUAUGAUAAUAACAAAGAUUAAGAACAAAAUAUGUUGAAUAAUUUGAAGAAAGCAGUUCAUAUACUUCAAAAUGAAUGAGGACAUCUGAAAAGUUAUCUUCCUGCAUUAGAUGUAGUACUUUGUGUUUUGACCAUCAAAUCACAAGAAUAAUUUCAUUGAAAUGAAUAACUAUUUUGUGAUUUUAGAAGAACAAUUUGAGAUUAAGGAAUGAGAUGGGAUGAUGAAAGAACAAUCAGAGGUAAGGGAAAUGAGUAAGAAAUAAAGAUCAAGGAAAAGAGAAGUUAAUGGGUAAAGGGGAACGACUUAUAUGGAAAAUUUGAGAAAUGGGUAAAAGAGGAAUGACGUAUAUGUUAGUGGGGUCGGGGCAUUGGGUUUAAGAUGGUGCACGAGUUGCUUUUUAAGAUUCCGAUUAAUUGGUGUCGAUUUAGGGAUUUUUAUCAAUAUUGGGGCACAAAUAAUUAAAUUAGUAAAAAUAGGGGUAUGAAUAACGUCAUUUUAAUGAUAAGGACAUAGUCAACUAAUAAAUCAAAUGAUAGAGGUACUUUUUACUCCUUUCCCUUAAAAAAUUACGUUUUGGUGAAUAAUUUAUUACAGAAAAAGAAUAUUACUUAGUGAAAGUAUCAUAUAAAUUCAUUUUGAAAUAUUGUACUUGUCCUUUAAAGUAUUAUGAAUUUCAAUUUUUUCUCCAGAAAAGCAGAGAAGGGCCUAAAAUCUCUCUAAAUAUUUGAAUUUGCCCUUAUUUAUUUUUAGGAACACCGUUGGAGAAACUAUUAAAUAUUUAUUUAUUAUGUUUCCACAUAUGAUUUAUCCAAAUUUAAACCCCCUCUGAAAUAAAUAAAUAAAUAAUAAAAAGUACAUAUGAUUCAUAUUAUAACCCGUUAUGAUAGAUAAUAAUGUUUUACAAAAUAAUUAUUUCCUCAUAUGUUCCUAUUGCCUAAUUAGAUCAAUCCCCAAUUUAAUAUAAUCCAAUUUAUAUGUGGGGAUCUAACUAAUAUUUGUCCUCAAUCCGUUUGAAUAUAUAUACUUAUAUUUUCAUAUUCUUUUAAUUUGUAUUAUUUUCAUGGUGAGUUAGGGUAGAAAAAGAAAUGACUAAUUUCAUUCUUAUAUUUUGAAUUGAGGAUACAUAUAAAAGAAAAUUUGUAGUAUACAUACAUAGUUACUUAGUUAAAUCAUCUUAUUUUGAACUAAUUGUUUAUAAAUGAAUGUAAUAGUUAUGAUUCUCCUUUUUAUCCCUUGUUAUCCCUAUUUAAUUUGUCAUUAUCUGAAAAAAUCAAAUUUAAAAUAGUGGACAAGAUCUUACAAGAAAUAAAUGGAAGAGCGAGGAGGUGUCUCAUGACCCAAAGUACACCCUAGAAGUGACAUGAUGCAUAAGACCCAAAGAGGCCCUACACAAACUAAUUUACAUAUAUAUACACAAUAUAAUAUAAAGUACAAGAAUUAAGAAGUAAGUCUCAUAUGAUAAAAGAGUUUGAUAUAAAAGUGGAAGUCUCACAUAGUCUCGACAAGUCAAUCUAAACAUCAUUAAGUUUUCAGGACAUCAACUGUACACUACGUACAAUAUCUAAAAACUCAAAACAUAAGAAAGUAAGCAAAUAUGAAUAGUCAUCAAAACAUGAAGACUCAUCAAAUCAUCUACCUUAGGAUGAUCAAUCACUAGCCAUGAGUAGGAGGAGGAAGAUCGUCAGAUCUUACAUUAGUUAAACAAUGUAGGCACAAGUAUGCAUUUAUAUGGUUUUAAUACAUGUAUAUGUGGCAUCCUCUUGGGCAAGAAGAGGUACUUAAACUUAAAUGAUCAAAAGUGUUACAAUAGAUCUGUAGUAUGUUUGAAUUUUCCAAGUGUUGCUACCCUAAUAUGUUGUGUUUUAAUAUGUGUACCACCCUUGAUUCAAAAGAGGGAAACUUACCAAAUUUUAGGAUCUACAAGUUACACCAAUGAGGACCCAACCACAAACCGUAAGGCGAGCCACGAGUCGUAUCUAGUUUUGUGUAGGGGGAAACCCAAAAGUGUCCAAGACAUGGAUCACUAUGGGACUGUAGGUGAGAACACACCUUGUGUCCAACGGGUCCAUGGAUUGGACAAAAAUCUUCGAACACCACCGAAGGUCAACCAAGACAGACUAUAGGUCAGACUACGGUCCGUCGAAUGGAAUAUGUGGUUUGUAAGUUGGUGGACAACUUACAUUUAGUUUAGGGUUUGUAGGGUAUUUUACUAAAUAAUUAGUUUAUAUGAUAUGUCAUUUACACUUCACUAAGAUCCGUAUACAAGUUUUUUUCAAACCCAAAAUAACCCUUUUACUUGAUUCUUCCAAAUUUACCAAAAGGCACAAAAUUUCUCUCUAAAUAUUCUAUCUCUAGAAGUUGAAGAUGGUGAAGAAGGAUUCAUGUAGGAUUUUAACAUAAGAUUCAAAUUAUUUCAUUAAAGGCUAGCAAUUGGAGUAAAGGUAUAAUAUUUGUCAUCCAUAGAUUCAUUCUGUUCAUGGAUUUGAUGAACCUCUCUUUUUUCAAGUUGUAGAAUUCCCCAAUUGAGUUAGAGUUUUCAUGAAUUAUCAUGAGUUCUAUUUACUAUUGAUUUAAUAUUGAAUGAUGUUCUCUUAUGCAUGAAAUGAUGAUACAUGAUGAUUUUAUGAUGAUUUCCCCAUGAACCCAUAUAAAACCCCAUGUUUUCAAGGUUAUGCAUCAUAUGAAGUGGAUUUUGAUCUUCCAGAAAGAGUUACAUAAACAUAAGCAUGUAUUGUAAGUUUUCCAUGAAUUUUAUGAUUAAAUCCAUAUUUAACUCGUGUUUUCUAAAAGUUUAUGAUAUCAAAUGGGUUUUGACAUGAAAAGGUAAAUUAUGGACUUAUGCUUGAUUUUAUGUAAUAUAUGCAUAUUUUUUGAAGGUGCUUUGAGAGUAAAGUACCAAUGACGAUGUGUUGUUGUGUUGUUGAAUGUAAAUUCUCAUAAACACAUAUAACAUGAGGUGAAAGGUUUUCGCACAUAAAAAUAAUUCUUAGACUGCAAGGCUUUCUUACCUUAUUGUAUCAAAAAGUAAGAUCUAUCUUAAUGAACUAGCUUUUAUUUGUUGUCCAAGGCCACCUUUCCAUGAUUAAUGAAGUCAAGUAAGAAAUUACUAUUCCAUGAGAUUUCAUUCUUAGAUUAGAGUUGAUAUUUUAUAGUGAGAUUGAAAUUAUCCCGUAGUAGAGGUGGGGUAACCAAAUAAAUAUCCUGAGAUAGAAGCUCCCCCGCAGAAGAGUUCGAGUUUCUAGUAUGUAAAAAUCUAGAAAAUAAUAGGGCGAACUAGAGAUUUGCAUGAGGGUUAGAGUCAUGAAUAUAACUCAUAAUAGUUAAAAUAGAGGUUGUCUCGUUAGAACCUCAAGGUAUCACCCUCAAGGACCAACCAUAGACCCUUAAGGAGGCCCCUAAGAAAACUGCCACAAAACAAUAGCCACGGAAGGAUUCACGCCCCAUGGGUGGGUCCAUGCCUAAUGGGUAGAAGUAUCGUGGAUGGGGAUAAACUCUAUUACCAUUAACUACGCCCAACCAGGAAGGGCUGUUGCUCCAAACAUAGUCCGUAGGUCAUGGAUUUGUGGUUUAGGCCAUGGAACAUUUUUUAUGGUUUAGUUUUGUGGCACUUUGGGGUUUUCCUAUUUUAAUUAAUAUUAAGUGAUGUCGUUUUAACGUAAUAUAGAGCACAUAUACAUUGAUUUAAUACCCCUAAAUAAUUCAUCCAAGUCAUUAUUUCGAAAUCAGCAAAAAGAACCCAAAUCCCUUUCAAAUGUUCUCUGUCAAAAAGUUCAAGGAAGAAGAAGUAGUUUGAGCUAGGGUUCAAGUUGCAAGGUUUUCUCAUUAAAUUCAUUGAAUUUCAUUUCUAUGGUAUGGCAUCUCUUAAUCCAUGGAGUCCCUUCAAAUCCCCAAUAUCAAAAAUAAAAAUCCCCCAAAAGCUAGGGUUUGAUUUCAAAUCCACAAGUUUCUUUCAAAAAUGAUUCUAAUGUUUGAAUUACUUUAUAUUAUGAUUAAAUGAAUGAAUUAAUAUGGUUUUUGAGUUUAAACCCCAAAGAAUUCAUGCAAACCCCAUUUUACAAAUUAUGAUAUGCUAAUGUGGGUGUGUUGAUGAAAUAAUGAUAUUAUUAGAUUACGUUUGUAGUUAAUGGGUUACUUAAAUUAUGUUAAUAUCAAUGUCCAAUGUAGAAAAUAAUAGAUGUGUUGAUUUUAUAUGAAAUAUGAUCCUUGUAAGGGAAAAUUAUGAUGUAAUGCAUGCUUAUAAAGUCUUUGUACAUGCUUUAAUGAUGCUUGUAGAAUGAAGUAUUAUUCAUUAUGAUUAGGUUGUUGUUGUAGGGUUAUCAAAAGGUUAUUCGUAUGAACUUACAAUAAACUUAAUUUGAAAGAUUUUCUCUAAUGAGGAAAAUUCUAUGUUCAAAAAAGUUUUUCUCACCGAAUUGAAUCUAAGAGAAAGUGAUCAUGGAUUGUAAUAGUUGCUCAUGCACGGUCUAAAAAGCUAUUCUAAUGAAUUAACUUUGAUGGAUUGUCAAGGACAUCUUUCUAUAAGAAUUGAGUUGAGUAAUAAAUUAACGACUAUUUUAUGGAUUUUAUGCCUUUCACCAAGUUGAUUUUGAAAUGAAAUAAAGGAUCACACAUAGUUGAGUCCGAGUUUCUGAAUUAGGAACUCUUGUCUAGUAGAGUCCGGUCUCUCAAAGCAUGUCUCAUGAGAUAGAAUCCUUCACUUAGUUGACUCUAGGCUUCUAGUAGCAAUCUCUGUAUUUUUUAACUACAUGUCCCGUACGAUGUUUAGCUUGUUGAUCCAUCUAAAUUAACAAAACUGUUCUACCUUAUGCAAGUAGACCAACCCUUGUCAGUGUGGGUAACACUGGGAGGGAUCACAUGAUAGCUUACAUAGUCUCAUGUUUUUUAAGGCAAUAUCCCAACUAUUACAAUAUUAAUAAUGAACUAAGACAUUCUUGAAGGAACAUCUCGUAGUGUUCAAGUACAAUGAAAUAAAAUACGCUUGAUGAAGCAUCCCAUAGUGUUCAAUAAAAUAAUGAACAAAGAUGUGUUUAAAGAAGUAUCUCAAAGUAUUCGAUGAAAGAUGGAACAAAGAUGUACUUGAGAAGUACCUCAUAUUGCUCAAGAGUUUCAAAAGGUGAUGAAUAUGAAUGAUGGCCUAGAGAGAUUUACUUGGCAUGGCUGAGAUUUAUGGAUUCUUAUUCAUUCGUUGCGCAAGUAUGCCUAUAUCUAUUACUCAUGACUUCUACUAUGUUAUAUGAUGUUAAAACUUUGCAUGUAGGAUUAUUUGUAGUGAAAUGUCCCUUUAAGCAUAUUUUAGAUGUUUUAAUCCAUGGCAAUCAUACCUAGUGAAUUUUUGUAUUAACGACUACAUCUCCUACAUUUUUCUUAAGUUCAGGGUCUAGUUCUUGAGGUGAUCAUUAAUGUGGAGAGUGCUUGGACUUUUAUAUCCGCCGACCUUGUUGGUAAGUCUUCCUUUUUUGACGAUAACAUUUUUUUAUGAUGUAGUUUCCUUUUAAUUUAUUUCCCCUUUUGGACAUGAGUUAUGGUAUAGGCCCUAUUCCUUUCAAGAUUUUAAUUGAUUGCUAUAUUGAUACAAAUCUAGAACUCCGCUAUCUCUUAUGUUAAAGUAAUAAGACUUCAAAUGUGUUUUACUCUUUAUUAUUCUAGAACUUUAUGUAAUGAUGUUAUAAGGGGCUUACAUGAAGCCUUUCAGGGUUCUAUGUGCCUUUUUACAUUGAGGGAAUAAAUAGGUUGUUAAAAACUUAGUAAUCAGAGCAUGAGGUUUUGAAUAAUUCUAGGAUAAUGUGUCACAAGUCACGUCUAUGAAUGAGAGGCUAUAAGAGGAUUGGGAAACAUAACUUGUUCAUUACUCUAAGUCGUGCCAUAGAGUUUUACUCUAUAAGAUCUCUCAUAAUCCUUCCCUUAUGCCCUCAGGAUAUUACUACACGAAAGGCUAAUGCUAGAAAGAUGCGGGAUGACAAUGUGACUCAAAUGGUUCAUCCUCAUCCUUAUCAAGCUCUGGUUCACCCUAUAGUUGAAAAUGUGACCCAUGCAUUGUGUAGGUCGACUAUAAUAUUUUUGUCUCAAGCACGGACGACUCAAGCCAAUAAAGAGGUGGUAGCUCUAGUGAAUCCUAAUGGGAAUUUGUCCUCUUCAAAAGUAAGAGAUUUAGAGAUAAUGACUCCCCAGUAAUUUAAUGGUUCCAAAGUUGAAGAUGACCCUUAAAGGUUUAUUGAAGACGUUCGUAACGUACUUUCUAUUAUGGUGGUGUCAUCAAGAGAAGCAAAAUCUAGACACCUACCAACUAAAAGAUGUGGCUGAAGGGUGUUAUGAUUAAAUGAAGGGUGAAAGACCUGUAGUAGGGGGCCUUGUUGAAUGGGAAUUGUCAAAAAAAACAUUUCUUCAUAGGUGUUUUCCUCUAGACUUGGGGAGGAAAAUGUGCAAAAGUUCAUCAACCUUUAUUAAGGAAGUAUGAGUGUUAAGGAGUAUUCUUUAAAUUUAACCAAACUCCCCAAAUAUGCUCCAACUAUGUUUGCAAACUUAAGGGCUAUGAUGACUAGGUUUAUGUCAGGUGUGUCUAACUUUCUUGAAAAAGAGAGUCAUACGAAAAUUCUCUUCCAUGACAUGGAUAUAUUAUGUGGGAUUUAUCUAGCAUUGAGUGAAUAUUUAAAUGAUAUAGAGACUCACACAUAGUUGAGUCUAGGCUUCCAAAAUGGGAGCUCUCAACUAGUAGAGUUCGAGUUUUUCAAAGCAGGUCUCACGAGAUUGAAUACUUCAUCUACUGGUGUUCGAAUUUCUAUUAGCAACCUUCGUGUCCCAUAACUAUGUGCCUUGUAGGAUGUUUAGCUAACGGAUCAAACUAAGCUAACAAAUCAUUUCUAUCUAUGGUAAGUAUACAAAUUCUUGUCUGUGUGGGUAACACCAGGAGGGAUCAUGUGAUAGCUCACAUGGGCUCAUGUUGGUUAAGGCUAUAUCAGAACAAUAACAUGAUCAAUAAUGAACUAAGACAUGCUUGAAGGGGUAUAUAAUUGUGUUAAAUUACAAUUAACUAAGACAUGAUGGAUGAAAUAUUUCAUAGUUUUCAAGAAAAUAAUGCACUAAGAUGUUCUUAAACAAUUACUACGAAGUGUUCGAUGAAAUGAAAAACUAGAUGUGCUUGAGAAGUACCUCCUAGUAUUUAAGAAUUUCAAAACGUGACGAAUAUGAAUGAUGACCUAAAGAGGAUUACAUAGAAUGGGUGACAUUUAUGGGGUAUUAUUCAUGUGUUGAAUAAUAUACCUUGAGUGUAAUGAUGAAGUGUUUCACUUUUGUUAUGAUGAUCUAUAUACUGAUUAUGUCUAUAAAUUAUGACUUAUACUAUCUUAUAGGAUGUUGAAACUUGGCAUAUAGAAUGAUUAUAUUGAAAUAUCACCUUUGAUAUGUUUUGAAUGUUUUUAUGCAUAGCUACCAUACUUGGUGAAUUUGUGGACUAACGCCUACUUUUUCCACAUUUUACCUCAGUGUAGGGUCCGGUUCUCGAGGUGAUCAUUCUAGUGGCUAUUUGGUGAGUACUCAUGGUUCGAGGAUGUCUUUUUCUCAUAAAACAAUUUCCUUAUUGUAUUUCCUUUUUGGAAAUAGGUUGGGCCCUAACCCAUUAACUAUUGUAAAAGAUGGCUAAAUUUAGACAAGUCUAGACUUCCGCUUUAUUUUAUGAAUAACUUUUAAGACUUGAAAUGUUCUUUACUCUUAAUUAUUCAAGAACUUUAUGUAACAUUAUUAUAAGUGUCUUACGUGGAGACUUUCAUGGUUUCAUGUGUCGUGUUACAUCUUAAUUGGUACCCCUGGGUCGUGACAUAGUAUCACUCUCCUUAUCCUAAAUUUGUUCACCAACAAUUUUAUAAGCUAGUUGAUCCACUUAAGCUAGAAGUUCAACAUUAUACAUUGGACAACUAGAAAAUAUUAUUUUGGUGUAAGGUAGAUACCAGAUUCCAUGUUAUAGCUCAGAUGAUCUCAAUAUCAGUUAAGUCUAAUUUCCCCACAAAUAAUAAUAAACUAAGGUUACUUCAAGAAGUAUUACACAUGAGUUCAAAGGUUUUUAAAUAUGAAGUUAGUUAACAUUGAUCAUGAUUUAUAACUUAUGUUUUAUUACUCUUUUAUAUUAUGUUUAGCUUGGUCAAUUGCAUGUCAUGAAAUAAAAUGUCCUUUUUAGCAUGAUUUAAAAUCUUUUAUGCAUGCAUAUCAUUCUCAGUACAUUUUCUAGAUUAACUCAUACUCUUUAUUAUAUUUUCCCAAAUUUAGGGUCUGGUAGAUAGGUUUUUGAGUGUGGUGCUAGUAGUUGAUUUUGUGAUUUUCCCGAGGUAUGGUAAGUCCUCAUGCUUCAAGGAGGGAUUUAUUAUUUUAAGUUUCUUCCAUAUAUUUUUUCUUUUGGACAUGAUGUUAGACACGAUAGCAUUCUAUUGUAUUAGAUUGUUAUGAUAAGACACAAUGUUAGACUUCCAUUUUUCGUUUAUAUAAUUUUAUGUUCUUAGACUAUGACUUAUCUCUUUUAUUCUAUUACUUAAAUUAUGAGAUCUAAGUGACAGGUAUGUAGUCCUUGGGGUUUCUAUAGCCCAAGUUACAUCUACAGGAUACCUCUACAUCGUGAGAGUACUCGAUAUACCAAGUAUGAGAGAUAUGUCUAAAAACAUGAAACAUGAUUAGAAAAGGACAGAAGAGAAAACAUGAUAUGCAUGACCAUCUAAAACAUAGUAAAAGUUUUGAUGAAAAAUCAUAAGUGAUGAAAAUUUUAUAUAAAUAAUAAAAACAUAAGGAAAUCUUCAUUGAAACAUUUGAAAUAAACUAAGUUCAUUUUGAUAGAUAUUAUUUUUAACUGACGAAUAGACCAUGCAAGGCAUAACAUCAAAACCGAUGUACUCCCACAUUGAGAAGAGAGUUAUUUUUUGAAGGUAGAAAUAUGUAUUAUGAUUCAUAUGACAUAUUUGAAUGUACUAUCUAGGACAUAUAAGCCAAUCUUAUCUGGCGUACAUACUUUGGAACUAGAGGUUGCUACUACCCUAUUUAAGAUUCCACCUACAAGUUCUCUUGGUGCUAAGUUAAAUUCCAAUGGAAUAGUAAUUUUUUUCAUAAUAUAAUACAUGGAAAAGUACAAUUAAGACACAAUUCAAAUCUUAUAUCAUCAUAGAGUAUUUAUUUAAAUCUAGAAUCAUGCAUGGGUGGGAAAUGAUUUCACCAAUCUUAAUUCAUUAAUAUGUGAGAAAAUCCUUUCAGAAUUUCAUUGAUGUUUAUCUUAAAACGACAUGGAUCAUAAAACAUUAAUUUUCACGACUCAUGCAUAAACUUUCAUAAAAUUAUCAUUCAUAGAUUAAAAAUUUAUUCAUGAAUUCAUGCCUUUAAGAUUUCAUGAUCAAAAUCAUUAAAGUUGCAUGGGUUCAAGUGAAAUCAAUGGAAAACAAUUACAUUGAGUAGAAACGGUCAUGAUAAGAUCAAAAUAAACAAAAUUAGAACACGUGAAAAAUUGAAUUAAAAUGUAAUCAAAUUUAACUUGGAGAAUUAAAAAAUCAUUGGGGUUCAUUGGGUAUAUGGAAAAUACAUUUUUAUUCAAAUCGCAAAACCAGUGAUGAAAAAGAGAGUUGAUUCAGAAUCCUUACCUUCAUCUCCCUGAGAUCUAAGAGAAUUUGAAGGGGAUGAAUUUUUAUGAGAUUUGGGAAUUUGGGAGAACGAGAGAGUUGGAUUAGUUUUAGGCAUAGAAGGCUAGUUAUAGGACAUAGAAAUAAGUAAAACAUGACAUAGUAUUGGCAUGUAAUUCAUAGUGAAAUACCCAAA